CAUCAUUAACGCGGAUGCUUAACGCGGGUGCUUAGUGUUUUUAGGUUAAAAAGAAAAAGAAAAUUAUGUAAUUAAACAAACAACGACGCUUAAUUAAGACUCACAAGCAACGGAGCUUAUGCACACGUGUCACACAUUCAUCAUCCUCUAUCUUUCACGAUCGAAUCAUCUUCUCUGGUGACUCCUCGGCGACUCCGACUCCAUCUGGUGAUCUCUCCGUUGCAGUAAACUUUGGCCACCACCGGAUUGGUAACCGCCGGUUUCUUUCCUCCUCUCGCGCCAAUAGCUGCCGCCGUAAUUGGCUAUUCAGAAUCCCCUACACAAAAAAUUUAGUGAUUUGAGGAGAGGAGAGGAGUGUUAUAGACGAAGAAGAAAAAGCUUUUACCUUUCUAGUUACCAGAGAAGGAGCGCAUGGGUUGAUCUGGAGAAACGAGUUCGGGAGAGAAACCGCCAUUGAAACUUUUAUAUCCCUUCCUCGUAUUGUUUUUGAGUAGAACUUAGUUUCUGGGUAAAUAUCUCUACUAGUUGUGUUUAGUUUUUGUGAUUUUGCUUCACUUUGAUGUCUGACUGAAUCUAUUCUUUGUUGUGAUUCAUCUGUGUUCUUGCAGGGAUCUUUUAAGGAGGAGACAAGAUGAGAUUAGUUUGUUUUUUUGGUUUAACGUUUUGGUUUUGGACACACAUAGAUGCUCUGUUCAUUACUUUCUUUUAAGGAGGAGACAAGAUGAGAUUAGCUAAAAAGAGGAAGCUCGGAUUGGUUGUAGAUGAGGAUGAGGAUACUAAGACAGAAGAAGGAUAUGGAGAGGGGCAGAGUGGGGAUGACUUAACAAGACUUGUCAAUGUUUGAGCUGGUCCCAACAAGCACCUCGUGUUGGUUCAAAUGGGAAUGGUGAUCAUAGCAUGAUCGAUCUUAACUCCAACCCUCAGAGAGUACACGAGCCUGGAUCAACUUACCAAGUAUGUAUUGUUUUAGUUUUUUUUCUUUUAAGAAUCCCAAAAUAAAAACCUCCCGUUGGAGCACAAAAAUGUUCAGGGUGCUUAGCGUUGGAUCUUAAAUCACUUUUACAACUUAAAAUUAUUAAAAAAAGA